CUGGAGCUGGACAGGAGAAAGAACCCGGAGACAUCUGAGGGGUCCAGGCUGGCAGAAGCAUGAGGGCCGCAGAUUUGAGGGAGGGGAACCCUCCAUCCAGAGUGUAGAGAAUGUUCCCAAAGUGAACUCCUCAGGAGACACUUUUUGUUAAUGGGCUCUAUUAUGGAUGAGGUUCCAGACACCUCAGGUGAAAUGUUUCGAGGAGCCAUUCUUUGUUCUAGAUGAGCAUCUAGAACAUUUCUUCUAGAUAAAGGUCUUGAAUACAACAGAUAAAAUGUCUAGGGAGAUACUCUGUCUAGUCUCAAUUAUAGAUGAGGUUCUAGCACAUUUAGCAGAGGAAUUGUUCUAGAGAGACAUUGCCGGUUCUAGAUUAAGUUCUAGAACACAUCACUGAUAAAACGUCCUAGGGAGAGGACAUCCCUGAGGGAGUCACUCUGAUCUGGAUUCUGUUUAAAGGGUGAGGGCACUGGAGCGCUGCUGCUCUGCUCUGGAGGAUUGAAGCUCCUGCCAUAAUGGUGGGGGAGGGGGCUCUAGAACCACACAAGAGUGGAAUAUUCUAGGAAUGGGUAUCCCAGUUCUAGACUUCUGGGGUUUAUAGGAGUUCUGUGCCCCUGUCCACCUUGCUCCACAGCCACCUUCCCAAAAGGAAAUCAUCCUCAGAAUGCCUGAGCCAUUUCAAUUGCCAAGUGGUUUCCAGCUGGAAAAAAUUAGCUCUGGGGAUGUGACAUGAAUCUCGGCUCUCAACCGCCCUGCAGAUGCAGCUUCCUGGGGCGGCAGAUGGAAAACUGAUUUGUUUUCCCUCACACCUGACAACCCUCCAUUCCCAGGGCCUGAACGUCCUCGGGUGCCCAUGAGACCACCCACCCAGGGGCCCCCUCUCCACUUGGGACAACCAGUCCUGAAUAGGGUGGGGGAGUAUGGGAGUAGGGGUUCUGUAGGGUGAGGCGACAGAGCCUCUAAGCAGAGCUUGGAACCUGUCCCCCUGCACGUUCCCCCCGCCAUGUCCCCACACCCCCAGGCCAACCUAGGUGCGUUCACUGCAAGGGCACAGCUGGUGAUGUUAAGGACAGAUGUAGACCUGGGGUGGGCAUGAGGUGGACCAUGAGAGUCCUAGACUAUGCAAAUUGGAGGGGCACUUAGCCCUUUCUGAUUCAGCCUCCCUUGGGUUAUAGAUGGGAAACUGAGGCCCAGAGUAGUGACUAGUCUCAUGAGGUCCCAGACUCCUGGCUGUCCCAUCAGAUAGUGAUGGGUGACAGUGAAUUUGCUGAGGAUGCAGGGAUGGGGCCAUGCUCAGGGUGCAAGUUGACCCCAAAGGCAGAGAGGGCAGGACUGCCCCCAUUCACACAUAUACACAAGCACACAUCACACCCGUGACGCAAGUCACCUCACCCCCUGGCACACAGGCCGAGAUGGUGUGUGCAUCCUCUCACCAAUGCGCAAAGAAUGCUUUUCCUUCUUUCUCCUACUUCUCUGAUCUCUAAGAAGCCUCAGGAACCAGGCCUGAAGGUGCUGGGUGGUGGGGGAAGCCCAAGGCUGACCCAGACCCCCUCUGGUGGCUUCAACUGUCCUCCUUGUCCUCUGCCCAAAUCUGUCUUCAGAGACUGGAUUCCAUGGCCAGUGACCCACACGUCAAAGGUGGGAGCAUUGAGGAUGUGGUCCCAGAUCCUGCUGAUCAUUUCUCCAGGGCGGACUGUGCCAGGAGUUUUCACCCCAUGUGGUUUCUCUUAAACGCCCCCCUGCUUGAAACAUCCCUACAAGAGAGGUGUUAUCAACCCAUCUUUCAGAAGAGGAAACUGAGGCUCAGGGAUGACAUGAGGGUCACCCUUGGCAAGUUGUUUUACUCCCCAGUGUCCUAGAAUGGCCCAUCCGGCUGCCCCAUUCUCCAGCAUCCUAGAAGGAACAGUUAAAAAUCUCCUCCCCAGGAGCUGGGAGUCCUUACAGCUCCAGGAGAUGCCCAGGGAACCAGGGAAUAGGAACGAGGAGGCAGAGCUGGCAGGCUGAGGCGUGGCUUCAGGCUCUUGGGGAAGCCAGGGCCACAUUUUUGGACCUUAUUCCAUCCCCACCCACCACAUUCUCAUCCUACAAAACCUUCCCUCAGGGCCUCUGCCUGCAAGGACAUCUGAGCACGGGAAACGGCAACAGUCAGAGGGCUCUGUGGCUAAAGGGCCGGAGGAGAGGGCUGCAGGCACCUUCUCCUGCCUCACCCUCAGGAAAGAGCUCAGCCCCAUAAGGACCCCCCACAUACACCCAGGAGCUCAGGACCCCAUCCCUCCCAGGCCUGAGGUCCCCCUCUCCACUGGCCUGUCCUCCACUUCAUCCGGUCCCUGCCAGUCCCCUCAUUUCACUGGAAUAGAGAAGUCAGUGUGAGGAAGGGGCGCCAUCCAUUCGAGCUGUUGUUUGGUUUUCCUUUCUGUGACACAAUCUACCUCAGCCAUUCUCUCCUCCCUGCUAGGAUUGGACCCCCUGGGUUCCUGCCUCCUGCUCCCCAUUCACUCCCUGUCCCCUGCCCCAGCCUGGCUGCUCAGUCCUCCCCAGGAUCCCUACAGGGUCCCUGCAGUGAGAGAAGAUUCCAGAACCACAGCCCAGAGGGGCCCUUGGGGCCCCCUAAGAAACCUGCCCUCUACAUCUACUAUAGAGGAGAAAUGAAGGCCCAGAGAGGGCCAGAGACUUGCUCAACAUCACACAGGAAGUCAGUGGUAGAGUUAGGCUUUUCCUGGGAAUGAGAGGUAGUUGGGUCUGUCUUAAUUUUGCCAAGAAUAGAAGAAAACAGGACCAAAUAUGUCAGGCUCUGCCCUUCCUUCAGUAUCUCUACUCCUAGGAGAACUUGUCCCCAUUCCCAGGACAGACUUCUGUCUCCCAGUUUUCUUGACUGAUCCCCAAGGCUGCUGACUGUGCUCCCCAACCCUCUCCAGGCACCACACCCCUCUCAUCGCUCUUCCAUGCACUGAUUACCACGUGCCUUGUAACUGUCACCCUGGUUGGACAGCACAGCUCUCCACCCCUCCCCAGCAGGGGGCUCCCUGACAAGGAAGACUUUCUUGGUCCCCUCCUCUCAUCUGCCUCAUCCUUCUGUCUCCCCUAAACCUGCCUUACCCCCAGCCAGCUCCCUGCUACAUCUGUGUCCCACAGAGUUGUGUCACCCAUGAGAGUCAGGGAAAGCAGAAGGCAGGGAGGUGAGGCCUAAGGAAUGUCCAGAUCUUGAGGUAAGGGCCAAGGAAGCUGGGAGUAUCCAGGGAAGAUCUUGCCUGGCAGCCCCCAGUGCCCUCCUAAGUGCUGAAGUUCCACAGGGCCUUCCCUUGGAGCUCAGCUCGGCUUGGCAUUCACAGAAACCUCAGGCAGGGUGGGGAAGAUUUUCUGGGGCAGGGGUGCAUGGGUUGCAAAUUCAAAUACCUUCAGGUAAUAAAAGUGAAAGAAGUGGAGGUGCUAUACAAUAGGGAGUGGUGGGGACUGUGGCAAACAGGGGAGUACACGACCCGCCCAUAGGCCCUAAAAUUCAAAUUUUUGAAAAACCCUGUGCUGGCCAAACUGAAUACUCAUAUUUGGCCCAUGGGCCACCAGUUUGAAACCUCUGGUUCAGAAUAUUAAAAAGGUUCUACUGCAGAGUCCAGAAACCCCUCUGAGGAAGUCAAGGACAGGGGCUCUGGCUCCCUCUGAGACUUUUCUAGUCCAAUUCUAAACCCUGUCUACCUGGCCACCUGAGAACAGGCCCACUGCUCUCUCAGCUAAAAGGGGAGGGAGGUCUGGGCGUCCACAGGGUCCCUGGUUUGGAAAUCAUCAUCUGAUAAGGGCCACAGCCCCGCAGUGCCUGAGGCAGGCAGUUUAGGGGCUGAGGUCUUCUCCAGUUUGGGGGACCCUGGUUAAGAGGAAAGCGCAUUGGGUGGGAGGAGAAUCCAGGUACAGGACGAGGACUGAAAGCCAGGACCCAGCUGCCCCCAUCCUGUGCUGGCCGCUGCCACUCUUCGGCUGCUGUCUCCCUCCCAGAUAAAGCUGGAGACCAGAUUGGGGUGGGGGCGGGGAGGAGCUGUCAAUUUCUGUACUAACGUGCUUUGUGAUGUCUCAGUGAAAGGGACUGAGUGCCAAGCCACAUGGGCAGCCGUGGGGAUGGGGCCUAUGUUCCCUCUUCCCAACCAGAGGCUUCUGAGACCCUGAGGCUGGGGGGACAAGGGACUGUAUUGUGCCACUCUGGUUGGGGAGGGGCUAGCACAUUCCUGGGUUCUUCAUUUCUGCAGGUGAGGGGAGGAAGAGCAGGAAAUUGUGGAAGUGAGAAAGAAGGCCGGGUCCAGGGCUGGCAUGGUUCCUAGAGGCAGAAAACUCCCAGGGGGUAGAGGGUGAUCCUCUCAUGCCUGGCCUCAUCCACCCUUCCCUUCUCACGGCAAGGAGGGGGCUGCCCUCUCCCCAGCAACCCUGGCCUUUAUUCUAUGCACAAUCAUUGUAAGGGCACCCCCAGGCCAGGCUGAGGGGUGGGGGCCCUGGGGAACCUGCAAUAAUCCCAGUGGAGGGUUAGCCUGAGACCAAAGGAGGUGAGACAGGCACCAAGUGGGAAAAGGCUAUUCCUCCAUCUUUCUUUCGCCCAAAUCCCAGAAUCCAAACCGGGCCUGUCUUCACUGGGCUAACACACCCAAACCUGGGAAGGCCUCAUGUAAACACAGCCCCUAAAACCCCCUUGGUUUUCCAAACCAGUCAUAAAACAGCUGGAAGGGAGGGGAGGGAUUCCCAGAGCUCCCUCUUACUAUGUUCACCCCUGAGGAUCCUAUAGUUUGGGAGAUUUUUCUCCCAAACAGGCCUCACUUCUUGAAGAAUAAUUAAUUUUCCCACAUUGAAUUAACUCAAGUGGAUCUUCUGAUUGCAGAUAAAUUUCGAGGCCGCAUGUUGGCUUCUAGGGCUUGAGGGAGGGGCAGUCUGUAUUCUAUUGGAAUGUUCAAUACACAGUUCUCAAGAGCACUCAGUGGGCCCCCAUUCCUGCCUCCACCCAGGUGCGAGUCAAUGGUUUAAUCAUCCAGCAUCUGUUUCACUGAAGGGGAAGGCCCAGCGAGGCAGCCUGCUCAAGGUCACAAAACGAGUUGGUGGCUGGGUGGGGCCAGAGCCCAGGUCCUUUGGGGUCCCACCAGAACACCCCCAGCCCUGAUGCCCCUCUUCCACUUGUUCUCCCACUCCAGGAACCACUAGCCAUGCCUGAGGGGCUGAUUUCCCUCCCUCAGCACAAAUCCGGGGGAUUCUUCCGUCCCUAAUUGGCCCCCACCCCUGCCCACUUCUGCUCCUGUUCCUGGCCCACCUCCUGGUAUUGACUACAUCUGUGCCAUCCUCAGUCCCACCCCCGCUCACCCCUCUGCGCUUCCCCCAGGAGGGGGAGGGGGCUCCAAGCUGGGGCUUCUGUACUGAGACUCUUUUGUACACCACAAACUUUUUGUAUAUUUUUA
ensembl:lncRNA